rnacentral:rRNA from 1 species
GCUACCACUUACAGAUGGACCCGCGGCGCAUUAGCUAGUUGGUGAGGUAACGGCUCACCAAGGCAACGAUGCGUAGCCGACCUGAGAGGGUGAUCGGCCACACUGGGACUGAGACACGGCCCAGACUCCUACGGGAGGCAGCAGUAGGGAAUCUUCCGCAAUGGACGAAAGUCUGACGGAGCAACGCCGCGUGAGUGAUGAAGGUUUUCGGAUCGUAAAGCUCUGUUGUUAGGGAAGAACAAGUACCGUUCGAAUAGGGCGGUACCUUGACGGUACCUAACCAGAAAGCCACGGCUAACUACGUGCCAGCAGCCGCGGUAAUACGUAGGUGGCAAGCGUUGUCCGGAAUUAUUGGGCGUAAAGGGCUCGCAGGCGGUUUCUUAAGUCUGAUGUGAAAGCCCCCGGCUCAACCGGGGAGGGUCAUUGGAAACUGGGGAACUUGAGUGCAGAAGAGGAGAGUGGAAUUCCACGUGUAGCG